rnacentral:tRNA from 1 species
GGGGUUGUGGCUCAGUUGUAGAGUGCUCGCCUAGCAUGUGUGAAGCACUGGGUUCAAUUCUCAGCACCACA